rnacentral:lncRNA from 1 species
UGUUUUUGAAAACGCGCCCUAAAGCUAUCCAAUUUCAACAGUUAAAAUAAGUAUUACCUAUCUUAGUAAUACAUAUAAAAAAACAUCAAAAAUAAAUAAGCGGCCUUAUUACAUUUAAAAACCCAAAACUUCAAACGUAAAUAAAAGGAUGUCCAGUUCACCAGAAGAAAAUCAAACUUUCAGAACAGGUGGCCACUUCGAAUUCCCUCACAGCUCCAAGCCCACUAUGGUUGGGGAUUACCUGCGUGGAUGAAAAUAAAAGGGGUGAGUUUGGGGAAACUCAGUGUGUAAAUUAACCCAACCAUAGCCUAUAUCAGCUUAAACCACAGAAAUAGAAUAAGUUGGCCUUAGCCCAGAACAGAAUUCAAAAUAAAGCCCAUAGGCCCAUAACAGAACAGAACAGAUAUUACAUGUUUAUGCAGAAACCCAACCAUAUCCAACCGUAUACACCCCCGUACCAACCUUACACCGUGUGGGGAGACAACUUGACCCACCCAACCGCUACACACCACAGAAUUUGCAGCAUGGCUGCCAGAACAAAUAAUGUGACAGAGUCACCAGAUACAGAUAAUCGUGGGAGAGCCACCAGAACAGAUAUUUGUGGCAGAGCCACCAUAAAGCUUCCUCCAUAAUAUAACCCAUGUCCCCAUGCAACAGAUAUAUAAUCAUGGCAUACAUCAUACAGAAUCAGAUCGUCAUGCUUUUCAGUCAAAAUUAACCCUACGGGUAUAACGGUAAUUUUGCACCUAGGGGUACAACAGUAAUUUUCUAUACAUAGGGGUAUUAUAGUAAUUUAGCUACUUUCAAGGUUUUCAUGCAUAUCCUAACUAUUUACGUACUAUCAGAACACUUACCGCGCAUACUUACCGAAUUGGGCCCGUUGGCCCAUGAACCCGAUCUUUGGCCCAUUAAGCCUAAAUUAUCAAAAUGUACGAAAUCGCGCGUACUGCAGUUUAUUACUUUAGAUUACCAAAUAUACAAACCCAACUAUCUUACGAGCAUUCGCACACUCGCAAAUUCCCAAAAUACCGACUUUUCGGCAUUUCGGCUUUUCGGCUUUUGCCAAUCUAGUCUAUGAGAGGGUGUCAGUUACACACCUGUUUGCGACGAUAUGCUGACGAGAUCCACACACGAACCGCCUACAAUUGGAUUACUAACACGUUAAUCUAACUAUUCAAAUACAAACUACGUAUUAACCCCUUACAAUAUUCGGCCAACCACACCUACAGAUCAUAGUAAGCUUAUAAGAAAUCAAUAAGCAACUCAUUAACAAUUUUUUGUCAAUGUUUACCACAUAAUCAUAAUUUCACUGCAAGCUGUCUUCCUGACCAAUAGUCACUAAAUUAUUUAUAACUAGAGUUACGAAACUCCAAAUCAAGUUCCGUUAAUUUUCCCUGAAAAUAGACUCAUAUAUCUUUUAUCCAUAAAAUUUUCAGAAUUUUUGGUAUGGCCAAUCAAUACCAGAUUUUUCUUAAAGUUUCCCAUGUUUCACUGUUUGACUAAUCUGACCACUCUUCAUUAUGAAUCAAAUUUCUCAUUGUACAGAAUUCAAAAUAUGUUUUUGUUUAUUUCAUUAGAAACUAGACUCAAUAAGCUUUAAUUACAUAAUUUAUUCAGCUUCUAAUUCAUCUCCCACAAUUUAUGGUGAUUUUCCAAAGUCACGUUACUGCUGCUGUCCCAAGCAGAUUUAUUACCAAAUCACUCUUUCACACAUACCUUGCAUGCAUGUUAUUUAAACAUGUAUAUCACCAAUCAAUCAUCACAUAUCUAUGAUUUUACUUAAGAAUAAUCUCCAUUUCAUCAUUUUAAAGCACAACAUGUUAGCUGAUUUUUCCCUUUAACAUCUAAGGCACAUGCAUGCUCAUUUGUUUGGCUCAACUUCACCUAUCUUCCAUUUUUCAUCAAAAGAACAUGAAACAACAACCAUUUCCUUCAUUUUAAUUCAUGACUAAAUGCUCACAACACAACUAAAAAUCAAAAUAUACUUCAAGAGUUAAUGUAGAAUCAAGAAGAACUCAUGAACCUCAAAAUAGAAGCAAGGUACCAAGAACUUACCUUUAAUUUUCCUCCUCCGAAUGACCAAAUACUCAAGAGCUUUCUCCUCUCCUUUCUCUUCUCCAACUUUCAGCUAUGAUGAACAAAGAUGGACAAAACUUUGUUCUUUUCACCCCUUUUUCUUUUAAUAAAACUUC